UGACCUUCCCGGGGCUGUCCGUGCCAGCGGCUCCGCGUGAGGGAGGGGCCCGCUCCUGCUUGGUGAGAGAGUCAGCACGCGGUGGCCUGCAGUGUCUUCUGUGGCUUCAGCGUCACCUAGUGCAGGCUGCCAUUCAACAAACGCAUUGUCAACAGUCAACCAAAAGAAACCCAUUGGCCACCAUACCCUGAGGACUAACCCUGACACAGAUGCCCUUCCAGAUGCCCUCAAUAGUCUAACUGAUUCCAUCGCCCCAGCCUUGGGGGAGAAGCACUGCUGCCUAUGCACUCCAUUUACAGGCUAAAAUCACACUCGAUGUUUUUAUGGGAUCAUUUGAUCUGGACAUUGUCAAAGAAAAAAUUGCACCAGACAAGUUAAACCUUCAAGGAAGGACUCAGUCAGGACUACUGCAAUACGGAAGAGAGGAGCUUAACUUCAUUGAAACAAAAGGCUGGGGAGUUUUUAAGUGCCGGGGUGAGAUGCUGAGAAGGAACUGGAGACAUCAGGAAGAGGUUAGGAAAUGCCGUAAAGCUAUCUGCGUUGGCUCAUUGGAAUUUUUCAAAACUGGGAAUCUGCCCUUCUACAAAAACUGAGACACAGAUGUAUCAUCUCCUUCAAUAAUUGCAUUUUAAAGGGAUGGCUCUGAAGUCUUGAGAAAGGCAUUCCUGGGUUGCAAAACUAGGAGGAGGCUAGAAGAAAAUUUGGGAGAAGAUUUGCCUCUCAAAGAGGUAGAGAAAGAACUCACAAUUGCAAGUUUCCUAAAAUAAAUCCUCCGUGAAAAAAGGAGGCCUGAUGGAUGGAACUGGAGGUCAUUAUGUUAAGUGAAAUAAGCCAGGCACAGAAGAAAAAUACUGCAUGUUCUCACUCACAUGUGGGAGCUUAAAACCUGGAUCUCAUGAAGAUA
rnacentral:lncRNA from 1 species